GGCGAUAUGAGAUCUUCAGGUGUUUCACCAUCCAGCUCCCCUGGCAGCAUGCUCGAGUAUCUUCUACCUUUAGGGGAGCCGGGGAUGGAGGCGUCCCUGAGAGGGACUAAAGAAGGAAAGUAGAGGAUCAAUUGGCUAAAAACUCAGAACUUGUUUGUGAAAGGGUCUGGAUAAAGGUAAGGGGGCUUAAUUUGGAUACAUGUUGGCUUAUAAAGGAGCAUUUAUCCUUUCCCUGUCAGUGUGAUUGAUUCCAGGAUGUGGAGGUUUGCAGUAGAAAACACUGCCUGAAGUUGGCGUGCUUGAAGAUGACAGCUUGAGUCCAAAAAAUUCUCCUUUACAAAACCCAGGCGACUUCCACGAAUGGCAGGCCAUCUCCACUUAGGAAGUUAUCUGGUUGAAAGGAAGCAGAAAACCC
rnacentral:lncRNA from 1 species